rnacentral:tRNA from 1 species
GUGUUUAUAGUUUAAUGGCUAGAACGUAGGUCCCCGAAAUCUAAAAUUUAGGUUCAAUUCCUAAUAAACACG